UUCACAUCACGCGUCGCCGGUUGGAGAUCGAGUCACGUUCGCGCCGCGCUCCCGUAGUUUUUACCCGUCCCGGGCGAAUUUCGUGUACGAACGAGUUUCGGGAGUGCCGAAUCUGGUGACGGACGAUCGUGUGUUAAUUGAUCCGCGUGAUCACGGUAAAAGCUUUUCUCGAUCAUCGAAAUCGGCGUCCGUUGUUCCCCCGUGUGUCGAACCGGAGCCGGCCUGCGAAGGACUUUAUUCCUUUCGUGUGUAUAUUCAAGGUAUUCGCAUGUCUACGAUGUAUAUGAUGAGUUUCACGAAUAUUUGAAGCAUCAAGGAAUAUCGAGAAAUAUCAAGGAGCCUCGAGGAGCUUCGGAGGAAUCGGUGGAUUGAGACAGAUAACAGUGCGAUUCACGCGUAUCGGGAGUGCCGUGUAAAGUGUCGGGCGAUCGUAAUUAUUCGUGUUUUCGCGAGUGUGUGAGUGCUAUGAAGGACCAAAAGAGAAAAAGGAGGCUCGGGGAAGCAUCCGGCGAUAGCGGAUCAACUAUGAGAUCAAUGCGCUGUCUACAACUCCGCUAUUGCACGGUGUAUCGGUGAGUGAGAAUCUGGUUAUUUUAUAAUAUUUCUAGCGGUGAUAGGGAUGUAUGUAAAACGCGCGCUUGUAACUGCUCCGUAUAUUUCAUUA